AUUGAACGCUGGCGGCAUGCUUUACACAUGCAAGUCGAACGGCAGCGGGGAGGAGCUUGCUUCUCUGCCGGCGAGUGGCGCGCGGGUGAGUCAUACAUCGGAACUUGUCGAGAAGAGGGGGAUAACCACCCGAAAGGGUGGCUAAUACCGCAUAAAUUCUGAGGAAGAAAGCUGGGGACCUAGGAAUAGGCCUAGCGCUUUUUGAGCGGCCGAUGUCGGAUUAGCUAGUUGGUGGGGUAAAGGCUCACCAAGGCGAAGAUCUGUAGCAGGUCUGAGAGGAUGAUCCGCCACACUGGGACUGAGACACGGCCCAGACUCCUACGGGAGGCAGCAGUGGGGAAUUUUGGACAAUGGGGGCAACCCUGAUCCAGCCAUGCCGCGUGUAUGAAGAAGGCCUUAGGGUUGUAAAGUACUUUUGUUAGGGAAGAAAAGUCAGCUGUGAAUAAUGGCUGAUACUGACGGUACCUAAAGAAUAAGCACCGGCUAACUACGUG
rnacentral:rRNA from 1 species